GACAGAGGUGCCAAGCGUUAGGCGGAAUCACUGGGCUUAAAGCGUGUGUAGGCGGACUGGUAAGUACCUUGUGAAAUCCCACGGCUUAACCGUGGAACUGCUGGGUAUACUGGUUGUCUUGAGCCAGCUAGGGGCGAGCGGAACAGACGGUGGAGCGGUGAAAUGCGUAGAUAUCGUCUGGAACGCCGAAGGUGAAAACAGCUCGCUGGGGCUGCGCUGACGCUGAGACACGAAAGCCAGGGGAGCGAACGGG
rnacentral:rRNA from 1 species